rnacentral:rRNA from 1 species
GAUGAACGCUAGCGAUAGGCCUAACACAUGCAAGUCGAGGGGUAACAAGAUGUAGCAAUACAUUGUUGACGACCGGCGCACGGGUGAGUAACACGUAUGCAACCUACCUACAACAGGGGAAUAACCCGGCGAAAGUCGGACUAAUACUCCAUAACACAGGGAUACCGCAUGGUAAUAUUUGUUAAAGAUUUAUCGGUUGUAGAUGGGCAUGCGCUCCAUUAGCCAGUUGGUGAGGUAACGGCUCACCAAAGCAACGAUGGAUAGGGGAACUGAGAGGUUUAUCCCCCACACUGGAACUGAGACACGGACCAGACUCCUACGGGAGGCAGCAGUGAGGAAUAUUGGUCAAUGGGCGCGAGCCUGAACCAGCCAAAUCGCGUGAAGGAUGACUGCCCUAUGGGUUGUAAACUUCUUUUAUACAGGAAUAAAGUUGCUUACGUGUAGGCAUUUGUAUGUACUGUAUGAAUAAGCAUCGGCUAACUCCGUGCCAGCCGCCGCCGUAACAC